CUGAAUGUAUCGUCUCUAUUUCCAAUAUCUGAACACACAAGGAAACUAUACUCUCCUCCUUUACCUUAUCGAUCUCUUCCUUACAACAAUUCAGUCAUACCAAUAACUGUUAUUUCCACCAAUAUAUUCAUCCUCAUAAUCUCCAACUGAAAUACUGUACCCUCACAGCUUUCAACACACAAUUACCCUUGUUCCAAUCACUGAAAUUCUUCACACAGAACUGCCAUUCACAUUACGGUGUUUCAUACAAACACAGACUCAUUCUCUCUGCUGAACUACUAUUAGAUUUCAACAUUCAAUUUUUCUUUUCUCAAAUAAUACCAAUCACAUUUCCAUUCCAUAAUUCACUUCACAAUAUUUAGAAACUUUCAAUCUUCUUAUUCAAAGAAAAUAACAAACAAAAGAAAAGAGGUAGCAUCAAGCUUACCCUAGUUCACAACUCUCAUAGUUUGGCAUUUUCUUCCCCUCUUCCAUCCUUAUACUACCCCGAGAUACCAACUCCUAUACUACAGAUGAUAAUUACUUUUCUUGACUAUUCAUCCAUUCUACUUAUUGAACCACCUUUUCAGCAGUUAUCUAUCCCUGUUUAUACUAUAUACUAGGUAUCUACAUUCUGAAAAUAACUACUUAUUCUACAUAGCCCCACUCCUAACUGUGCAGCAUCCUUGCAAACACUCAAUUGAUAUCUAUCUAAAAAUUAUCUAACAAAACUCUACAAAAAUUGCGAUCCCUCUGACCUAUCUAAUUAAUCAAUUAUCACAGUAUCUAUUAUUGGUUCCAUCGAUU
rnacentral:lncRNA from 1 species